UUAUAUAUCUCUCUAUCUAUCUAUCUUUCUCUCUCUCUCUAUAUCUAUAUAUACACACACACACCUGUAAAUAUCCAGUGACAUCUGAUACCAUGUGUAGUGGCUAUAGUCCCCUCUACAAACCUAUAGUAGCUGACCUUUCUGCUUUCGUCUCCGUUUUUUUUUUUUCUGUGUAGUUGCCCUGGUUCUCAGUAAAGAGGAAAUGCUUCCACCUACAAUAUGUGGUUAGUGCUCUUGCUUCACAAAUGCAGCUAAACUGUUUGAAAUCUGACCUUCACAAUUGAAUUGGAGGCAAGACUGUCAGAUAGUUGUUAUGGAUUGGAGGCUCCAUAGCUUGGUGACAAAUGGUUUCAGGAAGCCUGGGGAGCGGCCAACACCCAAACACCUCACAAGGGAAGCAAUGAGAAAUUAUUUAAAAGAAAGAGGAGAUCAGACUGUACUUAUCCUCCAUGCUAAAGUUGCCCAGAAAUCGUAUGGCAAUGAAAAAAGGUAAGGUGUGACCUCUGUGCUGUUGUUUUUUUUAAUUUCCUCCUUGAUUUUAGUAGAUACUACUUGGAUACAUUUCUAUGCGCCUU